rnacentral:lncRNA from 1 species
GUGACGACAAGGUGCUGAUGGCAGGACAGACUCCACCAUUCCCAUCAUCUGAGUCUUUGCACGGUGGUUGAGCCCAGUCAUCUGCAGCAAAUUUUUCCAGGCCAUCAGCACAAAUUAUUGAUGGCCAGCCUGGAACGAUUUAAUUGCAUCAAGUAGAAGCUUGCACUGGAAUGUGCUGUGGAUACAAGUAUCCCAAGCAAGGCCCCAGACAUGAUGGAAAGUGCUCAGAGAACAAUGACACCCCUUUGCUCCCCACGCUUGGAACGGGGGGAAGCCGCUGCUGAAAGCAUAGCUGGAGCUUUUCCAUUUCCUCUUAUGAGCCACCAAGGAGCUGUAGGGUGGGCUGGAGUGGAGAUUGGACGCCUGUGGGUCAGAGCAGCACCAUCAGGUAAUAGCAGUGCAAAUAGCAACUCUACUUGUGCAAACAGCAUCAAAAAACUAGGAGUUUUGGCAAGAUACUUCAUCUCCCAGCUCUACCAAAGGGUCCCUCAGAGGCCAUGAAAAAGCUGUGCUACUUCGAGCUCUUGGAAAACCUGCAACAGCUGCCUGAGGAGAGCAACAGAUCCUGGCCGGCCGCUAGUGCCCAAACAGCAUGGAGAGAGGAGGAGCAGACUUCAAGAGGAGCUCCAACCUGCACAGACCAACCUAGAGACCUUCCGCACAACGGCUGUCAUGCAAAGACACAAGAUCCCUAUGCUAUUUGUACCAUUAAAUGUUGAUGAAGGACGGUGGGAGCACCAAAUCAUAAGUCAACUGGUGGUCAGGGAACAGAAGUAAAUCCCUGUACGUCUUGGAGAUCCAGGCCUACUCCUGGAAGAGUGAAGAGCUCCUGUUCACUGACAUCAAUGCACAAAGCCAAGAAAGCAGUUGGCAACUCAAACUCAGCAGCAAAUAAAGGAAGAAAGGAAGAGCA